CCGGUGAAAAAAAACUUUGUUGCUGUUUUGGGCAUGGUCGUGUUGAGGCUUUCUUUACAGUGACGAAGCAUGCGAUAUAUAUCUGUAUCUGUGAUAUAUGUCACAUUUUCCUUUAUGCGCAGAUCGGCCUUAAUAAAUUAAACGAUCAGAGGAGGGGCAGAUAGUUGCGCUUCCUCUAGCCACCUUCUGGCUACAGAAAUUUUGUCCAUCUCGCAACAACAUCACUGUUGUGAUGGCUAUUCUCUGGCACAAGGCAUCAUUUGUCAGCUAAUCGCCUGUGCUGCAGUCCUGCUCAAGGCAGCUGUUUAACUCUACUGCAAUAUGGACCGUCUUACACAUGCCCCUGGAAGCAUUUGCUUCAUUCUUCUGUGGAAUAUGGUGAAUGGAGAUAACGACUUUCUUGAAAAAACGAGGAAGAAGUAUGCUAAGCCUGCACUCCCUUUUUGGGCUAUCAUCACUAUAAUCCUAAUUCUAUCCACAUUUGUGACAAGCUGUAUUAUGUUUUGGUGUGUCUUCUACCCAAGAAGACGACAAGCACUGGCAAUGACGCAAUCCAGCCCUUGUGUGCCACCAUUGUUGGGUCCAUCUCCAGGUCCAAUGGUGUCAGGUGCACCUGCCCAUUCCUACCUAGAAGCAUAUCCUCUUGUACCAGGUGCAUCCACAUCUCUGACUUCGCUGAACACACAGCGGAGGGGCUUUCAAGAAGAGAGAAGUCCUCCAUAUCCCAAGAAUGGACUCUACUCCGAUCAUAGCAGUGCAUCGCUGCCCCAGCUACCAACAGCGUCAAUGCCAUCUGCACCACCUCAGCCAUUACCCCCUUAUGGCAACUGAGCAAACAUGGAAUUGCCAUGGUGGCUUAGAGGCUAUGCCAAACUCUGCUGCUGGGUUGGAAGUUGCAAGAUUUGACCCAGAUGGGAGCACAAUGCGAAAAUGCUGCUGUGGUCAAGCAGAAUGUCCCUGCCACAGCCACCAAUAGCACCAAUGCCAUCUGCCAUUCACAAUCCUGACAUAAAAAUUAUGCAGAUCCAUCUAAAGCACAUGUUACAAUCUAUGUGAAGCGAAGAUUUAGUGAAGUGGUUAGUGGCGUGUCAUGGGACUAAGUGUGGUUCAUUCUCAUUAAUGCUUAUGCACCGCACAGGCCACAAGCUAUUCUGAAAUGCAAACACCAAAUGAGGCAGAUGCAGUGUGAGACGUCGACGCAGUGGUGUCCCGAUGACGAAGGCAAUUUAUACUUUUGGACGACAUGUUUCUAAAUACGUUUAGGGAUUCUAUACUCCUUGUGCAAUAGUGGCACAUACCUAUUGCAGAAGCUUGCCCAAGAAUUCGGGCAUGCCUUGUGGUGCAUAACCAUUGGUACAUACCAAUGGCCCAGGAACGGGGUAGUACAAAUGUAAGAAUAAGAAACUCAAAGGAAGCUAUUAAAUACUGUGCGCUAUUCCAUUAAGAUGCCUGUGUGCUUUAGAGAUGCCUAUUAGCUGACACUAUAUGUGCAGGUUUUGUGCUGUGAUUUAUUGUUUUGUUAUGUAAAACAGAGAUCCAUUCGCUGGCACUACUUUGUCAGUCAACAGGCAGUGCUAUAUAAGCCAGUUUUCUAGAUCCUAGUUCUCAUGCCUAUCACGUGAGAAACUGAUGACCGAUUGAUGACUCAUGCCAAACAGCAUUGUGGCAGGCAAAAACAGUUUCACUUUGAAAAUUCCUUACAUAUUUCUAAGCCGCAUUGCUCAAAACCAUGCCAAAUGUUGUUUUAAGGCAGGCCAUUGAAAGCACCUCUGUAUUCCUGUUGAGCACUCUUUAUCACCAUGAAGUUUGCUCAUUGUCAAUCAUCCCCACAAAUUGGGUCCUUGGAAGGGACACAAAGUAGCCUCAAAUCAGGAUCCUUCAAAUUGCCCUAGACCACAUAUGCAAGCAGUAUUUAUGCAUUACCCAUAUUUUCACAGGUGGUCAUCUUGUCAGAGUUGCUUGCGUGGUCUUUUUCUACCCUUAUCAUGCCAGCAGUCCUUUUACCAGCUUGGGCAGGUGAUAUCAUUUCUAUUUAGAACUUUGCCAAAUCAAAACUUCUUUUUGUAUCCAUUGGCAGCCAUUGUUACAUUGGGUGAGACACUGCUUUUUUUCUUUUCACAGCUAUUUUUGUGCUUACCUCCAAUGCCUUCACCAUCCAGGCACAUAUCUUAGCUUUUUAAUGAAAAAAAAAAAAAGAACCUCUCUAUCUCUGUGCCUGGACUGGAAGGGUAGGGGCUAUACACUGAAACAAUCCCUUGUGACAAUGAUUUCACUUUCCUGAGUUACUUGGUUCAGUACUGUUACGGUGACAACUACCUGAUGACUUAGGUUUCUGCCAUCCUCCUAAUCAGCACAUUCAUACAGUAUGCCAAAAUAACGGUGAUAGAAAGGUAGUAAGCACACCCACAUGCUUUUUUUUCAUCACUGUUACAGUUUUAGAUCAUUUGCACACACAUAAGAUACCUAAUGUUAUCAUUCUAGAAUGCACUCCCAAUGCCCAAGAUUCUUGUCUGUGCAUCAAAGUGAUGCUGACACUGUAGCGACAAUCAUACUGCAGCAGCACGAAUAGUAAUGUACAAGUCCCAAAGCAAUGUCUGACAUUACAAGAAAGAAAAUAGUAAAGAGUGGUUCAGUUACAGCAUUUGUUCCCACGGGCAAUGAACAUGUCUGCUUUUGCAGGCACUCUUAGUUGGCGAUGUAAUAAUGUGAUCUUAACAGUUCUCCCUUGAUAUGCACCCUGCACUUCCAAACAUUCCAGAAACUUUUAAAGCAGCUUGAUUGACAUGAAAUAAUAGGGUGCUUGCCAGUUCCAUUAUUUUCUAUCACUGCGAAAUUAACUGUUACAUUUUAAUAUCUUGAAGCUGCACCAUAGGCUAUGAAGGAUGCCAUAGCAAGCAGCAAGUGAACACCAAGGAUCAAUGCGGAACAUCUAGCUCACUUCUGGUGUGUCUCUAAAGCAAAGGACAGUGCCGAAAGCUGAGGGCUGUCAAGUUUGGAAAUGUGAAAGUGAUGCAGCAGUCUUUUUUCCAAGAAUGAGAUAACGACACAACAUUGUAAGCCUGUAGGGCAGAAGUGGGCACAGUAAUUCCUUGCAAAGGGGCCACAUACCAGUCGUCUACUAUUGAUAAAGGAAUCCUGCACUGCUGUUACCACCUGGCUCUAGAUAAAACGUUUCAACAGGUGGUUCAAAUGGUUUGUGUGACCAAGUUUUGAAUUUGGACAAGAAACUGCGAUUCUGGCAGCUUGGCAGUCUUUCCUAAAACUGAAAUAGUACGCGAGCGUUUUUGUCUUAUGGCCUCCAUCAGGAUGCCAGCCCGUGACUUCCUGCUUGGCAACAGUGGUGUGGCCUCUGAGCCCAUGACAAGUCAGUCACUUUCCUGAUGUUUUAGGUGAUGCUUUAGGUGAUGUCAGUACUUGUUCGGUUUUUGUAAGUGAGUGAUAGUGCAGAUAAUAGGGUUUCCUACUGAACUUUUGGGGGAGAACUCUGGUGCUGUGAUUUUUCGGCUACCAUGGGAAGGAUGGUUAGUACAUGGAUUUGUCUUAUAGUUCUUGCGACUUGACACGUUCUUGUGGCCUAAGUUACACUUUGCCUUUAUAGGUACUGUCUGAAACAUGGCGUUGAUGACAUAUUUCCAGCUCCGCAAUCGCUUCCGGUGUAUACACUUAGCUAAGGCAUAGCCUUUUAAGAUCUGGAGAAAGCAGUCACUGGGGCACGUAUUUGAGCCCCACCUAUUGGCCUGAAUUUCAAAUCAUUCAUAUUUAUAUAAGUGCAGAAUGCAAUAAUACACUGUGCAUGCAUAAUCAUUGCAAAGUGUUGCAUUUAUAGCACAAUAUUUCGUUGCAAAUUAUCAAUUUUGCAAUAUCGUAAAGCCAUUUGAAGUGAGGAAGGCGAAGUUUAGGCAUAUCCAUGUACAGUUAAAGUUUGACAUACUGAAGUAGGUAAAAUCAGCAAUUUGCUUCGUUAUAUUGAAAAUUCAUUGUAUUGAAAUUCGACAUUUUACGCAAAUAAGUACAGGCGCCGAUCGAUUUUUCGUACUUGGAAAGGGGCCACAGAAUUUUAUGAAUUAUCGGGCAAUCAAAAAACAAACUUGAGUGAUAAAACAAUUUAUUUUGAUGAAUUUGGGAGUCUGCAAUAAACAAUAUAGUUUCAUGCCACGCCAAUGGUAUAUUCACAUCAGCGUUACGAGUUGAGCGAAGCCAGCCACACUUUUGCAUGUGCUCCACCCCCGCGGUUGAUAGCAUCACCCACACUGGGACGAGGCUAUCAUGAAAAGCGUUGGCAGUGGGGAGCGAAUGCUUUGUCUGCCGCUCGCUCCAAUGGGUCAUCGAAACUCGAGAUUGUGCAACCUCCAAUACUAAACGCACUUGAAGACAGCUUACAUGAUGCCACGCUAUCUCUGCACGCCCACUCUCUGCACGCAUGGUAGAUUCUCUAAAGCGGGGUGCGCUGCUGCCGCUCAGCUGUGCUUACAGCCAUGCGUAACCACGGCCAAGACUCGCACCAGUAAUUGCAACGCAUGUCAACUUAACCUAACUUAACUGUCCUUCGCGCGCUUGAUCGUGCUACCACGAGCUUGCUCCCCUCCUCCUCUUUCCCUUUGCUUGUGCGGGAAGGCGGCACUCCUGGAGCCACCAUAUUUCUUCUCACUCUCCAACACUUCCACUCGCACCUAUAGCACAAAGUGUGCGCGUGGCACAAUAGGAUCUUGUCGCACUUAGACUUUAUAGAAACAUGAUGCGGCUCUACUUCGGUGGUCGCUCUUGUCGUGCCGCGCACAAUUUGAGAGGUGCGUUUGCAAGCAGCCUCUUUUAAUUCAGUCAUUUGACCAUCUGCAUCCGUGGAAGUUUCCAUUUAUUGUCUCGGCAUUCCUUUCCGGCGGCAGCGAAAUUUCGUUUUACUGAAAUCGCUUACAAACACACUUCGUUACGUUCAGGUUCUAAAUACAUGGUGUUCUAUGACAAAAGGUUAUGAAAAAUGAAAUACUUUGCUAUAUUGAGAAUUUUGUUAUAUUGAGGUUUAACUGUACCAACCAUCAUUCCCAUGCCCUUUGAACUGCCAUGCUUGCAGAUGCUGUAGACACUAAUGCCACAGUUAUCUUUAGCAGUUUUUGCAAGAGACUCAAUGGUGCAGAUGACACUGGCAGUACUGUGGGCAGCUGUGACAGGGGCAUACUGCUAUAACCAGAGUAGAGUCCAUCGUCUGAAAAUGGAGGACUCCUCUGUUCCUGGAUGUCCUGUUGUGAUGUAAUGCAAUUGCACCCUGUAUGAGAAGAUGUGGUUCUUGGGGGAGCAGGGGCGUAGGCAAGUGCACCAAACGUCGCUGGACCUGACGAAGGCACACAGGCAAUGAUGCGGUCCGGCCCCUAUGUGCCACCAACAUUGGGUCCAGCUCCGAUUCCAGGUCCAGUAAUGUCAGGUGCACCUACUUGUAGCCACCCAGAAGCGUAUCCUCUCAUACCUGGUACAUCCACAUCUCUGACUACCCUGAAUACACCACAGAAAGGCUUUCAAGAAGAGAGAAGUCCUCUCUACUCCAAGGAUGGAUUCUACUCUGAUUAUAACAGCUCGUCCCUGCCCCAGCUGCCCACAGCAACAAUGCCAUCCGCACCACCUCAACCACCGCCCCCUUAUGGCAACUGAACGAACUAGCAUUGCCUGGACCUUCGUGGAUGCAAUGGACUGGCCACGGUGGCGCACUCUGCUGCUUAGUUGGAAGUUGCAAGAUUUUUCCCCCCAUGGGAGCACAAUGCAAAAGCGACUGGCAAGGGCAGCAUGUCCCUGCCAGCUGCCCACAGCACCAAUGCCAUCUGCGCAUUUGCUUAUUACAACAACAAAAAAGUUGCUGAUAAGCACAUUUGGUUAUAACAGACCACAAGCCAUGCUGAAAUGCAAGCACCAAAUGAGGCAAAUGCACAUUGUGAGACAGUGAUGCAGCAAUGUCAUGAGGACAAAAGCAAUGUAUGAUGCUUGCUUGACUUAGGCAAUGUGAAAUAACAUAGACAGAGGGAAAGAGAAUGCAGAUGCAGCGCAGUAUGAUGCUUGUGGACGACAUACAUUUAAAGAUAUGAUACGCCUUGGGCCACAGUUUCACAUACCAAUUGUGGAGGGUUUGCAAAGAAUUGGCACACACCCAUUGGCACAUACCCAAUGACCCAAGAAUGGUGUAGUGCUACAAAUACAACAAAUUUAGGAAAAUCAGGGAAGAUGUUAAAUAUUGCGCGGCAUUAAGAAGUAUUUCUGUUUUAGAGAUACCUAUGAGACGACUUACAUGUACAUGCUUUAUGUCAUGAUUUAGUGUUUUGUUAGGUAGAACAGAGACGCACACACUGGCACUACAUCGUCGGUCAACAGGCAGUGUUGUAUAAUGCUGGUUUGCUAUAUCCUAGCUCUCAUGCCUAUGCUAGCUCAUGCUAGCUCUCGCUUAGCUCUUGUGACAGAUGAAUGACAACCCACACCAAAUGAUGCUGUUAUAGGCAAAGAAAGCUUCCUUUAAUUAUUGCUUAUUCACUUAGGACAUGUUCUUCAAACCAAGAGACAUUUGUUAAGCCACAUUGCUCAAACCCAUGCUAAAUGUGGCUUAAAGGCACCCUGAAACACUUUUUGAACAUAGUAAAAGAAUGUGGCCGAUACUUUAACGAAGCUCCUGUGAACACGUGAGCCAAAUAAUAUUGCACUGCAUACAGCAGGAAAUUUACAAUCUCUUGUCAAAAGCAGGGAACAGUUGCUUGCUCUUGCAUCCGCAAUGUCGUCGUCAAAAGCAGUUGGCACACCAAUGCUAUUGGUUGAUUUCAUGAUCGCGAAAGCAUUCUCAGUAGUGCACAGUCGCUGACUUUGAGUUAAAUAAAUGCAAAAUAUGUCUCCCUUCUCAAAAUGGCAGAAAUAUUAUUUCAUCUUUGCACUGCGUGUGGCUGCGUCUGCUGUGCGUAGCUUUCAAGAUGGCAACGGCGUGCUGCAUAGCGUAGUUUAGUGCAGCUGUCAGGAGGUGCAAGCUGCAGCUACAACAAGUACUUUUGCUGCUGCAACUCAACUUUUAGGCCGGGCGUUGCCUUCUUAGCUUUUCCACUGUAUAGCUUCCAGCGUGGUAGUGAAGACAAAAAGAGGGAGAAAGCCGCGUAUCGGUGCGAUAACACCUAUUAUAGUUGAAGGUUUUGAAAAGAUUGUGCGGCAUGAGAUUUGUGAGACAAUGUACUUUAAUAGUGAGGCCAUUCUAUUAUUAGUUAAAAAAGUGUCUUGGGGCCCCUUUAAGGCAGUCCACUGAAAGCAUCUCUGCAUUCUUGCUCAAGCACAUUGUAUAUACCAUCAAACUAGCCUCGUGGUCGAUGACCCAUAUAAAUUGGAUCCCUGGCCAAUAAUAGUCAUUGUCAAUAGUCAUUAAUAGUCAUUGUGAAGAAGGCUCCCGUGCGAAAGCUGAAAUGUAUUUUAUUUGAAUAUACUGUGCCUUUGUCGGCACUGUGCGUUUUAUUGACCAUGGAUCCCUGAAACUGACAAGAACUAGCCUCAAAUGAACAUCCUUCAAAUUGCCUUAAACCACACACGCGAAGUGUAUUGUUGUAGUCUAUGUUUUCCUGGUGCAUCAUCUCAUCAGAGUUCCCCAUGUGGUCUUUUCCUACCCUUUACAUGCCAGCAGUUCUCGUACCAACUUCAGCAGGUGAUGUCACUUCUAUUAUACAACCUUGCAGAAUCAGCAAAGCUCCUCUUUAUAACUGCUGGCAGCCAUCAUAACAUUGGGUGAGACACUGCCUUCUUCUUUUCACCUCUAUCCUGCUCUUGGUGCCUACGGUCCUUCAGUCGUGUCCCCAUGUGAAGUAACGUGCAAGUUGUUCUACGCAUGUUGGCAAACUUCUCAGCUCUUCAAAUUUCCCCUCUCCCUUCUGCCCAAGAAAGUAUUGGGGCUAUACUCUGGGACAGUGUUCUUUAUGACGAUGCUUUGAAUUUUGUAUGGCAUGCGGUUCAGUACGAUAUUUCACGUAGACAGCCUCUUGAUGAUUUAAAUGGCAAAUCUGGUGAUUUUUCGAUAUCCACUGAUCUUAAUAAAAUUCUGAAUGCAUUAUCUUUUUCGCUCUGAUUAUCUAUGCCAAACAGUAUGGCUGCAAGUCAUUUAGUUUUCCUGAAAAUGAAUUUUAAAGAUUGGUUGCGUUCCCGACUCAUGACUUUUUACUGUCCACCCUGUGUAUGUGACAUCAGAGACUACGCUGCCACUGUCACUGAAAUCGCUGCUGUCUAGUUAGGAAAAUCUGUAAGAACUCCCUGUAUUGUCAGGAGACAUCGUCAGCGUCAAUUCUUUGGCGUUAGCGCUACAUGUUCUGUGUAGCAUGCAUUCUGUGUGUUUACAUGAUAGUAGUGUACUGUAGGCUUCAGUAUCUUGUUUAUUGGUUAUAUAAGAUUAUUGAUGAAUUUCUAAGCAAAUCGAACCACCCUACUGGUGACAGGACUGUCAAUGCCAUUUGAAAAUCUCAAUCUCCUAAUAUGAUAAAAAAAAAAAAUGCCGGAGUUUCCCUUUAAGGUUUCAGAUAUCCACACGAUCAAAGCAUUCGCACAGUAUGUCAAAAUAAUGGUGAUGAAAUUACAGCAUGCCCAAGCACUUGUUUUGUCACUGCUGCUGUUUUAGUGAAUUGGGAUGCAUUUAAGACCCCUGCGGUUGUCAUUCUAGAAUGCAGCACAAACUCUCAAGCUUCAUGUCUUCUCUGCGCACCAAAGUGACACCGGCAGUGCGGUGACAGUGAUGCUGCAAUUGCAGCAACAGUGACAUACAAAUUCCACAGCAAAGUGUGUCUUUAUAAGAGAGAAGGGUGUUCAGAGAGGUUCAGGUAUAGCACUUGCUUUCACAAGUAAUGAUUAUGGUUGCUUUUGCAUGCAGUCUUAGUGGGCUGUGUAGUAAUGGAAGCAUAACAAUUGACUCUUGACACCCUCUUCUCUUCCAAGCACUUCCAAAGUAGCUGAAUGAAUGUAAAAUACUCUGGCAGAACAGUCGUUGUCCAUCACUCUUCAAGGAAACUUUUACAUUUUAUUGUGCCAAAGCUGCACCAUGGGCUAUGAACAAUGCACAUGGUGCAGCUUCUGACUAAUUCUUGUAGCAACCUAAGGUUGUUUACUAAAGCAUACAUAGCACAUGAAGGUUGUUGCAUUGUGCCCUCAUUGGGAUUUGAUUGUGUGACUUCCUGCUUCUCAACGAGGUGGUGUGAUCUCUGAGCUGCUGUGGCAAGUCUAUCGCUUCCACAGUGUUUUAGGGGAUUGCAGUAUGUUUCAUUUAGUUUGUGCAAAGGGAAGUAGCUUAGGGGAUGCAGAUGUCAUUGAUACUGUAGGCAGCUGUGGCAGGGGCUGCUAUGACAAGUUGAAUCCAUCUUCAGGGUACGGAGGACUCCUCCAUUUCUGGAGGCCCUUCUGUUGUGCAUACAGCUGCAAUGUGGAUGCACCUGGUGUGAGAAGAUGCAGUUCUGGAGGGAGGGUUGUGUGUGUAGGUAGAUGCAUCAGACAUCACUGGACCCAAAAAUGAAGACACACAGGGGUGGGGUUGCAGCAUUGCCUGCAAAGCACAACGUGAUGGUUGAAAGACGUUACAAAUGAGCACUGUGUUUGAUGAGUAGGAAGGAUACGUAAAGGGAAAGGGCAGAAAGGUCACCUUAAUGCUUACUACUCUGUCCUGUUAUUCUGCAUAGGGAGAAAAAGGAAAGAGCAGAAAAAGAUUGCUACCAUGAGUGAUGACGACGACAAGGAGCAAUAAAAAGCAAAUGAUUAGGUGCCCCUGUGACAGAACGUCAUUACUACAGUUAGCAGCAUUAACUGUUUGUCUGCUUAAUGUCUUCAAUGAUUUGCUUUUAUGCUCACUGGUAUGACCUUUAACUAUCAUUGUGUUGUUACAAUCUUAGUUUUAAGUUUUACACAUAGCUUGAAGCCAAACAGACAAACAGCUUUUGAUAUCAGUGGUGGUGUCAAGGCACUGCUUUAUCGGCCCCAUGUUGUUUUAGUUUUCCAAACCAGGUUUCAACAAAGUGCUAUAGUUAGUUUGCUUUCCAGUUUUUUAUAUAGCAUGAUUGCUUUGCCUAUGUGAGAAACCUAUGUUCAUUUAUGUUAAAGGGCCCCUUACCACGAGCCUUAUCAGUAGUUUUGGUUAUAUAUACACUGGAAGUUGUAAACAGUUGUCUAGGAAGCAUGCUACAGAGAAGUUUUAGAUAGGGUUUAGUAAUAGCAUAUGAUGGACACACCAUAUGCUGUUGCUGAUGAUGGAUGCAUUGAUAUGUUGAGGUCUGAAGGGACCCAAAACAGCUACUGCUGUAAAUUUUAUAUUUGAUAACAAUGGAGAGAUGGAAUACAAUAAGGAAAACACAGGAAGCAGCACUGUCGUGAUGUAGGCCUCCAGUGUACUCUCACAAUGCACUGAAAACAUAAGGAGGCUAUGCUGCUAUCACUCAGUGCUACGCUAUGGGACGAGGGCCAGUAUUGUGGAAAGAGUCAAGGGGGACAGCACGUGGAAGGUUAGCUCCCUCUCAAGCCUGUUGUUCUGCUCUAGAAAAAACGUGCUAGAAGGUUCCACAGACAGUGCUUUGCUGUUUCCACUCGGACAAACCUUUCAAGCGAUUAUGUACUGGGCACUUUUAAAAAUCUAAUCUGCACUUGUGAAAUGUGCACUGCUGCACCGCCCUAGCAGUGCACCUUGUCUUCUAUGGUACCACGCAUACCAUAUGAUGACACAGCUUCUUGCAAGCAUGGCCACCAUGAACGCCAUUAUGGUGAUGGCUGGCAGGGGCAAAGAUUUAGCAUACUUCUUGAUUGUGUGUAAAGUAUACAAACGGCUUUACAAUGACAUUUUAUUUGUGACUGCAAGUGCAAACAUUAGCAGCAAUGAGUUAUGGUGGUUAACAAAAAUUUUGUCAUGAACGUGAUUAUAGUAUAUAUGCAAAUUCAGAACAGAGGGGUCACAGAAAGAUGAAGGCUUGACCAAAAGUGGGAUAACAAAGGAAGCCACAGCUUGAAGGUAGUGUUUCAAUAAAGGGAUUACAAGUCCUGUUGUUGAAACAUUAGCUCUGUGCAGAGGUUCCUCAUGUUCACCAACUGGUUAAUAAAGGAUUAAAUAUGCACUGUAUUGAUUGCCAUGACGUUUGAAGGACUUGCAAGGGAUUAAGUUCUUUUUUUGUCGAUUGUUUAGUGAGUGCUAAACAGCAUUCUUUAGAGAACCUAGAAACGCUCAACUUAUUUUGAGAACAUUGAGAUGGUGGCAUAUGGACGUCAUAUCACCCAGUUUCUUUAUCGUGUGAAAAAUAAUUCUGACGAUGUGUACUGUCAAUUAGCAGGUCACUUGACUGUUUAUAAGUGUGAAAAUAUAGCAUCCAGGUGUUAUAGACAUGCCAAAUCGACCAUCGAAUAGAAUCUAUAUUGUUAGAUUGCCCUUCUGAAAAGCUUGCGGCAUUUGUUUUACGCCAAGAGUUUUGGGGAAAGCCAUGUUAUGAAAAAAUCACAAUUGACAGGGCUUCAUUGUUCUUCAAGAAUACAAAUUUUGCCGUGACGAAUUGGAUCUCUCAAGUACAGUUGUGCUUGGCAAUGUCAGAGUCCAUGGCCUAUAUGCAGAGAGUACCACAUUACCUUAAGAAGUGCCAGCAGAGUGGUGUCAUUCGCCAAGCUUCAUUUCCUCCUAUACCGAAAUCGAACACAAAACACUUUUUCACAAUGACUGGCUGACUACAAUUUACUGUUUGUUAAUGGGAGAUGCUAUGCCUUGAUUGUUGAUAGUGUAUACUCAGAGGCGGUGCCAAUGUUUUCCUAUGUUUCUAUCACUUAUUGGCAUGCGAAGGCCAUGCUCUUCAUAAAAGUAGUACUUUAGAUGCCUUAGAAUGCUGUUACUUCUGAUUAACUUAACGUUUGCCUUCAUUAUCCCAUCUGCAUGAUUUAUUCAUCACUCUCCAUAGCAGUGUUGUUUACAUUUUAAGUUCAGUGCCUUCUUUUUGUGUUUCUCUCACUUAGUUAUGAGUGCCAGUAUAUAUAUAUUAUUGUACUCAUAUCUUUGUUUCUGGUCUCAAGUCAUUUUUCUAUCAUGGUUGUAGUUAUGAUUAUGACGUGCAUAGGUUAUGCUUUGUUAUAUAAUAUUUUACAAGACCAAAGCUCUGUACCUGUCACGAAUAGAUAAAUUUUGACCUUGACUAGCCAUGUUACCACCACCACCAUCAUCAUCAUCAUAUUUUGUUUUUCCACAUGUCCUUGGUUGUUCACCUAAUUAAUGUAGCUUUACUCUUGUUACUAAAGAUGUUGCAUUUGUUACCUUGUGUUUCUAUUCCUUUCCCCUCUGUAAUGGGAAAACCAUGAGGGUAAUAAAAUUUUUAGAUUCAGGAAACAGUUUGUGCAGUUGUGCCGCACACUAUGCUGGUUUUCACUUAAAGCUAGGUAACAACAGAGCAGCAGCAGCAGCAGGCGUUAACACGAUAGCGUUAAGAGCUCCAUGUCGCAGAAUAUGCGACGUCUGAGUCCUGCGUCUGGUGUCCUGUGUCAACCGUCGUUUCAGCAAAAAUGAUUCCGAACCACGCAGACCCUCCGUCUAGCAUAAAGAAGUUACUGAACUGAUUUUUCUCAAAGUAGAAUACCUCAGAAAAAUCGUAAAGUAUGACUUACACGCAACCUACAGACAUAAUAGGGUCGGAUUGUAGUUUGAAUAUACAAGAAAACAUACUUCAGUUAUACACAAAAAAAACUUUUUCCAUCGCUUCUACCAUUCAUAGACAGGGCCACGGCAUCCGAGAUUUGCCUGCAUCAAUGAGCACAAACCUCUGACGCCACGGAGCGGUGCACCUGGUUCCUUGCAACACCUCCAGAUGGCGCUUGCCUCCGCUGCAUCGCAGCCCACGCAACAGGCUGCAUUUCUACCGGAAAGCUUGCCUUCUGAGGGAUGAUUCUUGGCCCCUGCCAGCUAUCCUCAUAAUAGCCGUCGUGGUGGCCUUAUCUUUAUUAUUUGGUGUCAUCUCUUUGUGUGCCUGCUAUCGUAGAAGACAACGCUUAUGGGCAGUGACACAAUCCAGCCCAUGUGUGCCACUAUCAUUGGGUCCAGCUCCAAUUCCAGGUCCAGUGAUGUCAGGCGCAGCUUCCCACACCCACCCAGAAGCGCGUCCUCUCAUGCCGGGGGCAUCCACAUAUCCGAGUACACCCGAUACAGAACAGAGGGCCUUCCAAGAAGAGGGGAGUCCUCCCUACUCCAAGGAUGGAUUCUACUCUGAUCAUGUUUACCCGCAGCUACCCAAAGCACCAGUGCCAUCUGCACCACAUCCACCCUUGCCUCCUUAUAACUAAGUAUGGAUGGCUGGGCUAGUUGGUUGUGAUUAGCACUAUGAAACAUUGUUCCAGCGCACAAUGGAACACGGACGAGAAGAGAAAGACAACAUGAACGCUGGCAUUCGUGUUGUCUUUCUCUUCUUGUCUGUGUUCAAUUGUGCGCUGGAAUGAUGUUUCAUAAUGCUUCUUCACAACCAACUAGCCCAGCUGUCUAUACUUAGCGAUAUACUUUCUAGUACAUUGGGCCCUUUCUCCCCUCCUGCUUUAUGUGCAAACCCUUCCUCGACCUUUGUCAACCUUUUAGCAGUGACCACAUGCCGUGCAAGAGAACUCACGUUUGCUCUUGACCACCGUCUUGUUCUGUUCUACCUGGUGUUCCCGGCGUUCAUGUUGUCUUUCUCUUCUCGUCCGUGUUCAAUUGUGCGCUGGAACGAUGUUUCAUAAUGCUCCUCCAUAUAACAACUGUUGAAACUGGCAUGACCUAAAGCUUCGUGGAAGCGAUGGGCUUGCUACAGUGACUCGGAGGUUGUGCUACUCUGCUGUUUAGUUGGAAGUCGCAGGAUUUCACCUUGAUGGGGGGCACAGUGCAAAAAGGUUACUGUGGUUAUGGCACUGUAACCCUACCACAGCCACUCAUAGCUACAAUGCUACCUAUAGCACAUGAACCACUGCCCUGUUAUGGAAACUGAAACAAAACAAAAUGGUAUGACCUAGGCUUUUGUGGAAGCAAUAGAUUUGCCAUAUGGUCCCUGUGUGGGAGACACCUGCUGACGCACGUCCUGCAGGACCUUUAAUACAGUUUAUCCAAUACAUGCAUUGCAUGCAUUGCAAUGCAUGCUCACUGACCUGGAGAGGCAGAGCAGAAGGGUGGGACUAAAAAUUAAUCUGCAGAAAACUAAAGUAAUGUUUAACAGUCUCGGAAGGGAACAGCAGUUUACGAUAGGUAGCGAGGCACUGGAAGUGGUAAGGGAAUACAUCUACUUAGGACAGGUAGUGACUGCUGAUCCGGAUCAUGAGAGUGAAAUAAUCAGAAGAAUAAGAAUGGGCUGGGGUGCGUUUGGCAGGCAUUCUGAGACCAUGAACAGCAGGUUGCCAUUAUCCCUCAAGAGAAAAGUUUAUAACAGCUGUGUCUUACCAGUACUCACGUACGGGGAGAAACCUGGAGGCUUACGAAAAGGGUUCUACUUAAAUUGAGGAUGACGCAACGGGCUAUGGAAAGAAGAAUGAUAGGUGUAACAUUAAGGGAUAAGAAAAGAGCAGAUUGGGUGAGGGAACAAACGCGCGUUAAUGACAUCUUAGUUGAAAUCAAGAAAAAGAAAUGGGCAUGGGCAGGACAUGUAAUGAGGAGGGAAGAUAACCGAUGGUCAUUAAGGGUUACGGACUGGAUUCCGAGGGAAGGGAAGCGUAGCAGGGAGCGACAGAAAGUUAGGUGGGCAGAUGAGAUUAGGAAGUUCGGAGGGUCAACAUGGCCACAAUUAGCACAUGACCAGGUCAGUUGGAGAAGUAUGGGAGAGGCCUUUGCCCUGCAGUGGGCGUAACCAGGCUGAUGAUGAUGAUGAUGAUGAUGAUCCAGUACAUUAGAUUUGCCAUAGUGGCUCAGAGCCUAUGAAACUCUGCUCUUGUUCGGGAAGCCACAGGAUCACAUUUUGUUAUGGGCUCAAAGUGGAAAUUUAUGCUGGUGUGCUAAGCUUAAAAAAAAAAAUCCCAGGUUUUCAAAAUUAAUCACGAGCUUCCUGCCAUAUGGCAUGCCUAAUAGUAUAAUAGCCCAUGUUGCAGCUUUGAGACAUGAAAAUAUAACAGAUAAUUUUGCACAGUGAUAGACAACAAUGACACUGGAAAGUGGCUAAUUAUUCUAUGCCCAUCCAGUUGCUUUGGAAGUGCCUAAAAGAUUUGGAAUUGUAGAAGGCAUGAAGGGGCAAUUCUUAUUACUGCACUGCCAAUGAAAUAUGCAAACCGUAUUCACUGCCUUAGGGAGCAAAUUCUAUACCUGAACCUCUCUGAGCCCCUUUCCUUCUUCUAAUGCCACACAUUAGCACUUGUACAUCGUUGUUGCUGCUCCUGCGGUAUUAUUGUCACUGCAGUAUCACUCUCUCUUCACUGCAGAGACAAGAAAUCAAGUUUGAGAGUUAGGGCUGCAUUUUGGAAUGAUAACCUUAGAGGCCUUAAGUGUGAGCCUUAAGUAAGCUGCAGUGAUGAAAGGAUGUGCGGGUGUGCUGGCUCUUUAUCACUGUUAUCUUGACAUACUGUAUGGUUGUGGUGAUUGAUUGGGUGGCAGAAAUAUUACAUCAUCAAGAGAUUGUCUUCGUAACAGUUAACUGUUGUGCUUAACCAUGAACCACACAAAAAUGAAACAUUGUUUCAGAGUAUAGCCAUUACUCUUCCAUGGACAAAGGGGACGUUCUUCAUUGAAGAGCUGAAAGACGUGCCAGCACCUGUGGAACGACUUACUUGCUACGCUGUAUGGAUAAGAGAUUGGCGGUCUAUGGGCACCAAGAGCAUAUGUGUGCUUGUGCCCUUGCUCUUUUCUUGUCUAGUUGUAGUGUCAUUUUUUGCAGCUGUUUCAUGAUUGUACUUCACAGUUAAUUGCAGUCAUAACAGCAAGAUAUGCAACUGUUUCUGAGCUUUGUUGCAAACGUGUGUUAUACUUUAUCUGCUUCUCUACAGUAGUGUUACACAGCACGAAAGCCAGGCACAUGCUUCCUAUCGCCAACUGGUGUUGAUUCCGAAAGAAGUGCACUGGUUAAAUUGAGUCGAUCCUCAAAUGCUAGCUGCCAGAGGAAGGAGUCGGGAAACUGGCACACUUUCACUUUUAGAAAUAAAUUGUCACUGCGCGAUGCCACGCAUGUGCCAAGCAUCCAUCUCAAAGCACUAGCUUUCAUGAUAGAAGUGCUAAGCUCAUUACUCUUUGUGUCAUGUGUUGUUUUGUGGCCCAAUGGGUAGAACAUUACGCCAUUGUUGUAGGGGACCCUGGUUGAACUCUCGCCAUUGGACACGUAUAUUAUUUUAUUGAGCGACAGCUUCUGUUAAACGCCUUGCUGAGCCUAUCCGGCAUGAUAGACAACACACUAAACCUUGCAAAGGUAGGCAAAGAAACCUUUGCUUUAGGACAGUGUCUCACUCAAUGUUGUGAUGGCUGCCAAUGGAGCUUGGUUCUGCUAAGUUGUAGUAAAUUGAGGUCACCUAUUCAAGUUGGCACAAGAGCUGUUCGCAUGCAAAGGGUAGGAAAAGAACCACACCGGUGAACUCUGAUGAGAAGACCCACCUGGGAAAAUGUGGUUCAUGCAUAAAUGCACUUUGCUUUUGUGGUCUAGAGCACUUUGAAGAUCCUGAUUUGGAUCUUCAAAUCCCCCCUCCUCGAUGUGGGAGAGCUAUGGGCAGGUCAUGGGGCCCGACUGAUUUGGAGGCUUGUUCAUAUCACUUUCAGGGUGAUUACAGAGCUGAUUGACGUGGAGUGGGAGGGGAGGUGAGUUUGAUGGCAUCAAAUAUGUUCAAGCUGGAGUGCAGACAUGCUGUCAGUGGCCCGCCUUAAGGCAGAUAUGGCGAGGGUAUUAAGGAAUGCAGCUUAUGAAAUGCCUCGGGCUUUGCCGGGUCCUUGCCUGCAUUUACAGGGGGGUUCAGUAUGAACUGUUAACACUUGGUUUUCAUUAAAACUUUUCAAUUGUCCUGUUUUUAUUGCACUGAAAUUGAGCAUGAAAGUGCUGAUGCUUUUACAGAACAGAUACUUGACAAGUACUAGCGAGUGAGGCUUAAGACAUAUUUGUUGUUUUUUGAGUACUGAUUGGAUGCUUUUCCUUCAAACUGAUGGGACCUGUACAAGCCGUAAGGUUGUUGCUCUGUUUGAUAUACAUAUAUCUUUUGUGACUUGUGUGUCCUGUAAACAAUUGUCCCCAGCCACAAAAAUCCUAGCUUUUGUAAUGCUGCUUGCUGAACAAGUAGCUAUGCUAUUUUUAGAAGAAGGGACAGAUGAAAAUUCAGACACCCUGAGGAAGAAACAACAUAAUUAGUUGUUUGGCUGUUUGACUUCCUUCCUAUGUGCACCUUGCUGUGAGCUGCAUUAUUAUUAUUGUCUUUAUUAUUUCUUUCUUGUGACAUUUGGACUGGGGUGCUACAUCACAACUGCUGUUUUUAGUGUAUGAAAUACGUUCCAAAGUAAGUUUCAUCAUUUUUUGAAAGAGAAGAUGGUGCACCAGGUGAAACAAACAAUUGCCAUAAGAAUCCAAACCCGUUGCUGGUUCAAUGAUGGAAGGAGCGUCAGUGGAGGAGGAAUGACGCAUGUCCAGAGCACUGAAGAAGAGAGAGUAGCAGCAAACCAGCAUGCCUGAGAUUAUUAGAGUACGAAUUGCGGUGGCAGACAGACGUGUGCUAACAGCAUGGUCAAUGGAAGUGUGUGCUGUCGUCUGGUAUGAAUGGGCACGUGGGACUAGUGUGUCCAUCAUCCAUGAAUGCCUAACGAUUGUGUAUGGUAAAGAGGUCAUGUCUCAGGCCUUGCAUCGCAGGGCACCGAGUUUUACUAGGGUGGUUUCUUCAAACUGAUUGCACGCUACAGCAAAUGUCUCAACGUAGGUGGCGACUAUGUGGAAAAAUAAUGCAAGGUGUAUUAUUCAUGAUGCCAUGGUGUAUUUUUUUUUUUUUUUGUCGAUAAAUUUUACGUGUGAAAAUAAAUGACGAAACUUACUUUUGGAACGUCCCUCAUAGCUUUUUAUAACGUGAACAAAGAAAGGGAUGCACCAAGUGCCAGUUUUGUAUUUUGUGAUGCAGUUAUAUUGACUUGAACAUGGGCCAGAUUUCACAAAUGAAGGUUACGUUGCUGCAUCUGCUUGCUGCACAUGAAAUACUCAUUCUAUUGUAUUGAUUACUACAAAACUGGGUGAAGCUAGCCUAGCAAAUCUAUAGUACAAGCUUUGCCCACAAAAGUUAGCUGCACUUACCCUCACUGCCUCCAUGCUUUUAAACAAAGUUCCAGAAACAUCCUAAUAUUGAAAGAAGUUCAUCUCUGCCGGCGCAUCCUGGGAAUGAGCAAAUGUAGUUGGCUGGCCCGUAUAUACAGACACAAAUAUAAGUUGGACGGAGGUGCAUUCUUAGGUUGUCGCAACCAUACAAGCUCUGUAUGAUGCUUGUGUAUUGCAUGUGGCUGAGCUCGGUGAUCAAAUGUCAUUUUUACCUACACUAGCUUUAUCUGCAGUUUGCAAUUGGCCCCCUGUGCACAGCUGGAUGAAAGCAGAGGCAUUGUUAUGCAUCACAACCCUGCCAAUAGAUUCCAUGCUGAUACAUUUUUAUAGUUGUAAAGUGUCUGAAGCCCAGUCACCGUAGUGCUAACAAUAUGUUUGCACAAUAUGUUGACCAGCUACUAAUAUCCUAUUUCUUUGGCUCAAAUUGAAAACGUAAUGCAGUCGCUUCAAUGUAUAAGGCUGCAAGAAAAUAAGGCCAUCACAAUGUUUCAACCCCUCAUGUUCACAUUUGUGAAGUGGCUGUCAUGCAUCACCAAACCAAAUUUUAGGUUUAUAAUUUUUACAACGUGUUUUUCAAGACCUGAAAUCAUAAUUCUUCAGCCACAUUAGUCAAUAGAGUUUGACUUUUUCUUCACGUGUGGCACGUAUAAUUUAGAUGGGCUGUGUGGUUGUCUCAUAAUAAGGGUGUUUCAGCAUUUCAUGUGCAUUUGAAUAUGGAAAUUCAAGUUGCAAAUGAGCUAAAGCUUUGUCCUCCUAGAUGUUGUGUGUCGGCUUUGCAGCAAAGUGUAUCUUGCCUAUUAGUAUUUGCUUUAGGCAUAAACAAAAUUUCCUGCCCUUUGACAUUUCCUCUAAGUCAUGUUCUAUGCAUUGCAUCACCUUGGCAUGUGUAUGUAUGCUGCAGUGGCUGGUGCAACAUUCAUUUUGCAGACUAGGUUGUUUGUACAGAAUUUCCAUGCUAAAUCUCUUGUACAUGCACACCGUGUAGUAAUUUGUGAGCACUAGUUUCAGUGUAGGCCGCUAAUAAGCCACUUGGAAAAGUGCCUGCUUGAGCUGUCCUUGUAAGAAGCUUUGUGCCAGUGUAAUGUAACCUUAGAAAUGUUCCUUAUACUGCAGGCUGCUGUGGCCUGCGAGUCUGCCUCACCACUUGUUGUUAUGGUGAUUGUUAUUGAACUCUUCCUGCGGCAUUUUAUUUAUAAACACCAAGUUUUUUAGCGAAGCUGCAUUGGCACACUUGUUGUUGCAUCAGGAAGGUUUGUUCGCUGCCUCAUAAAGAAAUGAAUCUCUCUUUGCGAAAAUGUUGCUAUUUACUUUUGCACUUUUGUAAAUGCGUGCUUCCAGUUUGCUAAGCAACAACGGUAGCUCAGCUUAUGGUGGCAUGCUUGACAAUGUGAUGUUUACCUAACUUUUUUGCUGGGCUUUGUUUGGCACAGCAUGAUCGUUUUGGUGCUUAAUAAAGUUAGCUUAUUUUGCUGCUACCAGAUUAAAAUGUAUGCAUUGUGGCCACAAAAGUCUAGGGAUGUGGCUUCUAGCAAAAGGCAAUGCGGCUGUCAAAUGAAGCCAUCUUAAAGGAAUUGAGACACCUGUAUUAGGAAGGGGGAGAGUACUGUUCUGUCAUUUGCAGCAUUUGCAGCAGCUUUCCUGCAAUCUAUUCACGGACCAAUGGCCAUCUCCAUCAAACGUGGUUAUUUAUUAUAUCUAAACUUUUUCAGUGAAAGUUUUCUUCCACUGACAAUUCAUGCUUACUAUAUGUGUUUGUCAUACUUUCUGCACUGCUAACUUAUUCAGUAGGCACUGUUCCUUGUUCCUACGUGCAGCUGAACAAAUCUAACAUCUGUUUUCAACAUUUUCACACGUUUUGUGUAUGUAUCUUUUUUUUUUUGCACAUGCCAUGCAUUCACCAGUUUGUGAGCAUGAUAAGCCUGCUUUGAGUGAAAUUUAUUCCGCACUGCUGGUAAUACUUCUGCCUUAUAUGCUGUAGCUUGGUGGACAUCAUAAACAACUUGUCUGCUGUAGACUCAAGUUUUCACAGUUUGGUUCCUCUCUGAAAUUUCAGAGUACUUUGUGUGCAUUAAAUUGUUCAAAAUGACUGUCACUGAAAAAUGCACAAAAGAAAGAACCAAAUUUUUUGCUAAUCUUGGGACAUUUACGGAUAUUAGAAUUGUUCAGAGUGGUUGUGUGUGUGUUAGUUAAGGGUCAUCUUGACAGCAUGCAGUACAAACAUGUGGGACACAUGCAGGUUACUUAUACAACAAGCAAACAUUCAUAACUCUGUCCUGCUUGUUAUCUUUUUCUGGAUUCAGUGUUUCUCCAUGUUGUUGUCUGGAUUUAAGCUGUGAUAUGUAAUGUGACAAUAGUGUUGUCAGCUUUAGAUUCGGUGACAAGAUUUUCGUGCCUACAGACUCUGCCUGCCCUUGUUCGCUUGCAGUUUAUGCAUUUUACUGUUGCAUUUUUACUAUGGCUGCAGAAUGCUUGUUGUAAAUGUUAAAGUCCAGUCAAUAAAGCACAUUAGUGUUAUUGUAA